ensembl:lncRNA
GGAAGUUGUGUGAGCAGGCCGAUGAGUGCUUGCUUACGUCGAGGGGAGCGCCAGCUCCUGUUUCUCGUGUACGGGGGAAGCCCGGGGAACAGCAGGGGCGUCUUGGCCCGGGCAGGGAAGCGGAAGUCAGCGCCGAAGCCGCGGCAGGAGGUCCUGCCGCCCCCGAGGCCGGUUCAGAUGUGCUCCUGCCCAAAACGCGAAAGUGAGGCUGGAGUGUGGCCUUGAGCGGCUUUCUGUAGAAGGCAGUGGCCAAGAGCGCACCUCGCUUCUGUGCCACUGGCCAGAAUGAAAGCUCUCCUAUCUGUGAGGUGAAUUUCCAAGAUUCCUGUUUAAAAUGCCUGCUUCCAGGGUACGUAAAAGUGGAAGACAGUUUGGAAACCAGGGG